rnacentral:rRNA from 1 species
UACGGAGGGUGCAAGCGUUAUCCGGAUUUACUGGGUUUAAAGGGUGCGUAGGUGGGUUGAUAAGUCAGUGGUGAAAUCCCCGAGCUUAACUUGGGAACUGCCAUUGAUACUAUUGAUCUUGAAUACCGUGGAGGUCAGCGGAAUAUGUCAUGUAGCGGUGAAAUGCUUAGAUAUGACAUAGAACACCAAUUGCGAAGGCAGCUGGCUACGCGAAUAUUGACACUGAUGCACGAAAGGCGUGGGGGAU